CUACACCUUUAGCAGUCGGAUAGCUAGCAGGAAGAUCGGCCGCUUCUUCCACGCCAGCACCCCCAUGUAGGCCGCAGUUGUGUGCCGAGAACAGGUUGCUCAUUUUGUGUCCAGGAGUCUUUCAGGUGUUGCAGAAGUAAAGCCUGCUUUUGCCUGCUUUCAGGUAGUCGAGUUUGCUAAUGUAAAGGUUCUGAAUUAGGGCUCUGCUGGAGUGUUUUACACAGAGCACACUCUGCAUGCGGCCAUCUCG